rnacentral:rRNA from 1 species
AACGAACGCUGGCGGCAGGCCUAACACAUGCAAGUCGAGGGGCCGUAGCAAUACGGCACCGGCAGACGGGAGAGUAACACGUGGGAACGUGCCCAUCAGUUCGGAACAACCCAGGGAAACUUGGGCUAAUACCGGAUACGCCCUUACGGGGAAAGAUUUAUCGCUGAUGGAGCGGCCCGCGUCUGAUUAGCUUGUUGGUGAGGUAACGGCUCACCAAGGCGACGAUCAGUAGCUGGUCUGAGAGGAUGAUCAGCCUCACUGGGACUGAGACACGGCCUAGACUCCUACGGGAGGCAGCAGUGGGGAAUAUUGGACAAUGGGCGCAAGCCUGAUCCAGCCAUGCCGCGUGGAUGAUGAAGGCCCUAGGGUUGUAAAGUCCUUUCGGCGGGGAAGAUAAUGACGGUACCCGCAGAAGAAGCCCCGGCUAACUUCGUGCCAGCCGCCGCGGUAAAAC